rnacentral:misc_RNA from 1 species
CCAACUCGUUGCUCCAUGCAUUCGCGAUCGCCGCCUCGCGGCUGUCGGUCAGCAUGAUCGGCGUGCCGUCGGCGGCAUGAAGCGCGAACAGCUUCAGGCCGGGCGCGAUCUGCGGCGCCUGCGGGAAAAGUCCCGGCACGUCUUCCGAGCGAAUCUGUUUGACGUAGGCGAUAUGGCCUUCGCCCAAAGUAGCCAGCGCCUCCAAAGAGACGGCGGGUUCGAAGAUGACACUACCUUCAGUCAUGG